rnacentral:lncRNA from 1 species
GGGGGAGGGUAGGUUUCAUAUUUGUAAACCAUUAAAUUACUGGGAGUACUCAAACACCAUAAACUGAAGUAGUCAUUUGUAAACUGAAAACUAACAUGUAAAGAAAUGAGAGAUUUAGGAUAUUAUGUUCGUGCCAACAUUCUAAAUACAAGAUCCAACCAACAUUUUGACAAAAAACUCCUACUUCUAAUUAUUGCAAGGCUGUUUCAUCAUAGUCUACAACCAUAGACCUGACAAUUGCAUCCAUUUUGAAUCAUGCACCAACAAGUUAAUAGCGUAAUUUACUUUAUGAAUACAGGCCAGACUCCGAGAUAAGAACAAGACGAGCACUCAAAGUGAAAUCCAACACUAGUUACAGAAUUCAACAAAUAAGAUCAGAAGGAAACUGUUUUACUAGACUAAUACAAUCUAAUUUUUAAUUACAAAUUAUUCUUUGACAAAUACACUAAUCAGAGUUUCAAAGCUAUAUGGUGAAUAUGAAACCGAAAGAAAAGAGGUGACAUUCACAAACAAUAUCAAAUUUUAUACCAUUCUCAACUCAUGCUUCAAGUUACAUAUAGAGUGACAUCCAUGGGAGCUGAAACAUACCUGGAAUGAAAGGAAAUAAAGGGUAAGAGGCCAGCAACAACUGUAGAAGAUAUUAGCCUCAGAUUCGAGCAAAACAAAGCAGUGACAUCGACCCAGAAACCAAUAGAACAACAAAUUGACCCACAAAACUUUAAAAACAACUUAAAAACCAAUAUUCAGAUAAUUUUCAAUCCUACAAUGAAGAACUACUGCUUUCAGACUUUGAAAAGAAUCAGAAAUAUCAAUGGAAUUCACUGAGACAGUAGAAAUUUUUUGCCGUUUGUAUUUUCUCCAAUUUGAUCUCUCCAAACCUGCCUCGAAUAGCAAGGAAUAUAUACCUUUAUAGGCAAGAAAGUAAAGCAGCCCUAAGGAAAUAUUUUUUGCAAUUAGGCCCUUUUCAAAUUUUUGUUUUUUGCUUAGCUAGCCUUAAUUAAAAGUCUGACGUUUAAUUUAAACUCCCACCCAGCUUCCUAUCAGCUUCUUAAUUCUGUUACUCAUAGAUUCUCCUUCCCAAUUUCCUAAACUACCCCUCUAGCCCUAGUUAGUUACCCUAUCAACCAAGCAGACCCCAGGUCCAAAUGACCCAAAUGAAUGGGUCUGGGCUAGAUUCAGUUCAAUUCCUCUUGGGCUUAAUGAUUUCAGAACACAUACUUGACACUAAAAAUUCAUAACUCCCAAGUGCCGGUCCACAGAGUCUUAAAGACUCGUGAAAUUUGGGCCCAAAUAGGAACAAAAAUAAAAACAUGCUCAAAACAAAAAAUCAAAAACAGUUACUUAACCACACAACUCUAAACUAAUCGUGCAAACAUGGAGUUUUGAAGAGAUGAAAAAUAGAAAACAAAACAAAACAAAAGAAAAUUAGAAAAAGGAAUAAACAGAAGAAGCAGAGAAAUGAAAAAUAAAAUUAACAACCUAGGGCGAAGGGAAAAUACAUAAAGGUCUUGGACAAGAAAUAACAAUGAACCUUCAAAUCAGAUCUUGGUUCACUCUGAGGUUAAGCAUGUGUUUUUUCAUCAAAGACACAUGAAUACCCUAAAAAAUGAGCCCAAAACUUCCACAGACACUUCAAUUGGAAAGACCUGAAAUAUUAGGAUUGAACUUGACUCAAGAUUCGAGAACUUCCAGGGUGAUUUGAGGGAAGUGAAUUGGAUAUUUGGAAUGGGGGAGGCAUGUGGUUUUAUGGUGUUAAUUUGGUGGCGUUUGGGAUAGACGCCGCCACCGGUGGAGGUGGGAAUUUUGGACGGCUCUAGUGUUUGUGGAAGAUGGUCUAUGAAGAGAGAGGAAUGAAGGAGACGAAAUGGGAGGGGGGGGGGGGUUAGGUUUUCAGACACUAUUAUAUCGAAUGAACCCCGCCUUCCCAGCCGUGGAUGCAAGAACCUCGACGGCUGAGAUCACUCCUGAGCUAAACAUCGUCAUUUUAUUUAGUAGGGGAACUGUACCGGGUAGGAACGGGUAUGGGCUGGAUCUGGGCGUGUAUUGAAACGGGAAUAGGG